rnacentral:rRNA from 1 species
AUUGAACGCUGGCGGCAGGCCUAACACAUGCAAGUCGAGCGGGUGAGAGGAGCUUGCCCCUCGAUUAAGCGGCGGACGGGUGCGUAAUGACUAGGAAUCUGCCUAGCAGUGGGGGACAACGCUUCGAACGGCACGCUACUACAGCAUACGUCCUACGGGAGAAAGUGGGGGAACUUCGGACCCCACGCUAUUAGAUGAGCCUAGGUCGGAUCAGCUAGUUGGUAGGGUAAAGGCCUACCAAGGCGACGAUCCGUAACUGGUCUGAUAGGAGGAUCAGUCACACAGGAACUGAGACAGGGGCCAGACUCCUAGGGAGAGCAGCAGUAGGGAAUGUAGGACAAUGGGCGAAGGCCUGAGCCAGCCAUUCCGCGUGUGUGAAGAAGGCCUUCGGGUCGUAAAGCACUUUAAGCUGGGAUGAAGGGCUCAUAGCGAAUACCUGUAAGUUUUUACGUUACCAACAGAAUAAGCACCGGCUAACUUCGUGCCAGCCGCCGCAGUAA